UCCUUCUUAGCUCAGUUGGUAGAGCGCGUCACUAGUAUUUAUGCGAAGUAUUGGUUUAUAAUAAUGACGAGGUCAGUCGUUCAAGUCGGCUAGAAGGAA